GGGGAGAGAGAGAGAGGGAGAAUUUACACUAUUGGAUCCAUUUUCAAUCUCAAAUUACAUUUCUUAGAUGUUAGAUAUACAAGCUCAUUGAAAAUGGUGAUGCACAAAGGUCAAAACGACAGAACAAGAGAUGAAAUUGAUACCCCAAAGGUAGUUGAAAAUAGUAGAGAAAAAAGUGGUGGUGGCUGGCUAAGAGUACUUAUGCCAAUUAAGUAGCAUAGAGAUACACACCCUCAUAAUAUAAAGCUUCCCCCUUUGUUGCCUUACCAUUUUCCUCCACUUGGAAAAUCUCCUACCCUGGCUACCCAUUUUCCCCAUAAUGAGUUUGUUGCACAUGUUGCUCCAAUUCUAGCACAAUUUAUCGAAGAUGAAACUAACCUGGCAAGUGUGCUAAUUGGAUCCACAAAUACACAUGCAUAGCCUCUUCUUAAGGCUCCACUUGUACUUGAAUUUCACAUCAAUGUUACGUGCCCUAUCU
rnacentral:lncRNA from 1 species